rnacentral:antisense_RNA from 1 species
AUGCUCAGGUGGGGGUGGGAGAAGAGAAUCAUGAGGUUUAGGGAAGGGAUUCCACAGAUGCUCAGGUGGGGGUGGGAGAAGAGAAUCAUGAGGUUUAGGGAAGGGAUUCCACAGAUGCUCAGGUGGGGGUGGAGACGAGAAUCACGAGGUUUAUGGAAGGGAUUCCACAGAUGCUCAGGUAGGGGUGGGAGAUGAGAAUCACGAGGUUUAGGGAAGGGAUUCCACAGAUGCUCAGGUAGGGGUGGAGAGGAGAAUCACGAGGUUUAGGGAAGGGAUUCCACAGAUGCUCAGGUAGGGGUGGGAGAUGAGAAUCAUGAGGUUUAGGGAAGGGAUUCCACAGAUGCUCAGGUAGGGGUGGGAGAUGAGAAUCACGAGGUUUAGGGACGGGAUUCCACAGAUGCUCAGGUAGAUGAGAAUCAUGAGGUUUAGGGAAGGGAUUCCACAGAUGCUCAGGUAGGGGUGGGAGAGGAGAAUCAUGAGGUUUAGGGAAAGGAUUCCACAGAUGCUCAGGUAGGGUUGGAGAUGAGAAUCACAAGGCUUAGGGAAGGGGUUCCACAGAUGCUCAGGUGGGGCUGGGAGACGAGAAUCACAAGGCUUCGGGAAGGGAUUCCACAGAUGCUCAGGUAGGGGAGAGAGCAGGUGGGUUCCCACACUGACUUUCACAGUUAGAUGUAAAAUCUGUUUGGCAAAUGACCUCACACAUAUUCUUUCUGAAAAAGCACAACAAUGGUAUUUGCUCCUGAUGAAUUUUUAUCUGAGUGCAACCACUGGAUGGCAUAAAUACCUGACUUCUGGCCUAAGCUUAUAGCAUUUCAUGACUCUUCUGGAAAUGUUCAGCCUUGAAACCUUUAUGUUU